GACCCGAAAGAUGGUGAACAAUGCCUAAUCAGGGUAAAGUCAGGGAAAACCCGGAUGGAGGACCGAAGCAGUUGUGACGAGCAAAUCGAUUGACAGAAUUGGGCAUAGGGGCGAAAAGCCAAUCAAACUAUCUAGUAGUUGG
rnacentral:rRNA from 1 species